GAUGAACGCUGGCGGCGUGCUUAACACAUGCAAGUCGAACGGAAAGGCCCUGCUUUUGUGGGGUGCUCGAGUGGCGAACGGGUGAGUAACACGUGGGUAACCUGCCCUUCACUUUGGGAUAAGCUUAGGAAACUGGGGCUAAUACCGGAUAGGAGGUCCUGUUGCAUGGCGGGGGGUGGAGAGUUUCGGGGGUGGGGGAUGGACUCGCGGCUUAUCAGCUUGUUGGGGGGGUAGUGGCUUACCAAGGCUUUGACGGGUAGCCGGCCUGAGAGGGUGACCGGCCACAUUGGGACUGAGAUACGGCCCAGACUCCUACGGGAGGCAGCAGUGGGGAAUAUUGCACAAUGGGCGGAAGCCUGAUGCAGCAACGCCGCGUGCGGGAUGACGGCCUUCGGGUUGUAAACCGCUUUCGCCUGUGACGAAGCGUGAGUGACGGUAAUGGGUAAAGAAGCACCGGCUAACUACGUG
rnacentral:rRNA from 1 species